CCUGCAGGAUGCAGCACAGCUGGUUUUGGUUGUUUCAGAUAUUAUCUCUGCAGGCUGCAGGCCGCGCGCUACGGUUGACGAUGAACCCGGCAAAUCCACCAAAUUCUGCUCCACGAUUGGCGUGAAUUCUUCCUUCUCGGUUUAGGUAAACGUCCCUUGUCUUAAAAUAGUUAGAAUUGCUCGUUAUAUGCAUAUUUCAAAGUUCAUGCCACAAUUGGAGGAAUAUUAGACGAAAGUCAAGACCACCCAGUUUCCAUGACUUCUUACCCUUUCUUUUCUUUCUUUCUUUUUUUUUUACCGCUGUUACAAAACCCUGCAUGGCCGUGUAAAACUUCUCCCGUGAAACUCUGAUCACUUUUUUUUUUCUUGAAUUGCCUGUUAAUGCGGCGCAAUGUUUUGUUUGAUUUCUCAUUAUUAUUUCAAGAGGUAGUUUAGUUA